rnacentral:rRNA from 1 species
UGGGGAAUAUUGGACAAUGGGCGAAAGCCUGAUCCAGCCAUGCCGCGUGUGUGAAGAAGGUCUUCGGAUUGUAAAGCACUUUAAGUUGGGAGGAAGGGCAGUAAGCGAAUACCUUGCUGUUUUGACGUUACCGACAGAAUAAGCACCGGCUAACUCUGUGCCAGCAGCCGCGGUAAUACAGAGGGUGCAAGCGUUAACCGGAAUUACUGGGCGUAAAGCGCGCGUAGGUGGUUCGUUAAGGUGAAUGUGAAAGCCCCGGGCUCAACCUGGGAACUGCAUCCAAAACUGGCGAGCUAGAGUAGGGCAAAGGGUGGUGGAAUUUCCUGUGUAGCGGUGAAAUGCGUAGAUAUAGGAAGGAACACCAGUGGCGAAGGCGACCACCUGGGCUCAUACUGACACUGAGGUGCGAAAGCGUGGGGAGCAAACAGG